GCCUAACCAAAAAAGCCAUCCUUUACAACAGCGCUGAGGCUACACGGCGGCAGACAAAGGAACUCAGAAAGUAGCCCCCUGAAGGAGACUAUGAUACAGUACUGGGUUUCCAGACAGGUGUGCAUUGCAGGAUCCGAGCUCAUAGAAUCAUAGAACUGUAUAGUUCGAAAGCCCCCCGAGGGUCAUCUAGUCCAACCCUCUGCAAUGCUGGAAACUCAACUGUU